UACGGAGGGUGCAAGCGUUGUCCGGAUUUAUUGGGUUUAAAGGGCGCGUAGGCGGCCUGUUAAGUCGAACGUGAAAUCCCCGGGCUCAACCCGGGAACUGCGUCCGAUACUGGCAGGCUUGAAUCCGGGAGAGGGAUGCGGAAUUCCAGGUGUAGCGGUGAAAUGCGUAGAUAUCUGGAGGAACACCGGUGGCGAAGGCGGCAUCCUGGACCGGCAUUGACGCUGAGGCGCGAAAGCCAGGGGAGCAAAGCAGG
rnacentral:rRNA from 1 species